rnacentral:misc_RNA from 1 species
UACGGAGGGAGCUAGCGUUGUUCGGAAUUACUGGGCGUAAAGCGCACGUAGGCGGCUUUGUAAGUUAGAGGGGAAAGCCCGGGGCUCAACUCCGGAACUGCCUUUAAAACUGCAUCGCUUGAAUCCAGGAGAGGUGAGUGGAAUUCCGAGUGUAGAGGUGAAAUUCGUAGAUAUUCGGAAGAACACCAGUGGCGAAGGCGACUCGCUGGACAGGUAUUGACGCUGAGGAGCGAAAGCAUGGGGAGCGAACAGG